UUUUUUUUCCUAUUCUCUCGUGUAUAUAUAUUUACUCUUACAUGUAAGGGUCCCUCUCGCGUUGUGUGGGUGUGUGUGAGAGCGCUUAUUAUCCAAAUCAACCACGUAUUCCUUCUCUCAUGUUGCUUGUAAGUUUGUAUUCUGAAAAAACUCCUGCGAAAGAGAAAAAGGAAAGGAAAAUAAAACAAAAUAAAAUAAAAAGGAAAAGGAAAGAAAACCCCACUUUAAUUCUUUCUUUCUUUUUCAGUUCUUUUGUUUUAGUAUGUAUAUAGUAACGCUUUACCAGAUUUGUAGAUUAGAGAUACUCAAUCGCUUUCCCUUCCCUGACUCGCAUGAAGACAGCGACAUUUGCUCUCCCUGAAACUCCUCUUCCGCAAUUUCUGCAACUCUCUCUCUCUCUCCCCCAAAUGAAAUUUUUAACUCCUUUCUUUUGCAGAUUAUUAUUUACUUUUUUGUUUUUCCUCGUAUCCUAUUACUCCUAUGAUUUAUGAGCUCUUUGCUUUUGAGUGUUUCUUUUUUUUUUUUAAUUUUUAUUUUCCUUUUCCGUAUGAGAUAAUGAUAAGAGUGCAGCUGUUCACAGCAUCGGAUUUAGGGUUAGUGAAGCAAAGCCCAAAAAGAAGAAGCAAAGAAGCGUCAAUGGAGCUGUACGCAGUGUAAGUUGUGUAGUAAUCUUCCUCCUGGUUUGCUCUUUCAUUCUUUCUUCCUUGAUUUAUGCAGAGAAGACAACUUUAAUCUGAAUGUGUCCUUCCUUUGUUUUGAAUCUUAAAUAAUCCCUCUGUUUUGCUUCAAGAAAAUAAUCUUAUUUUAGGUUUUGGGCGAGCAAAAAAUUCAAGACGUGUUGUUAAUAGUACGAGUGCUCACUGACGAUAUUCGAAAAUCUUUAGUGUAGGCUUGUAAAUAAAAAAGAUUUAAGUCCCAAAUAAACGGUUAAUUAGGAUUGAUGAGAAAGCAUGAUCAUACGUGGGUUGGUUAUUUUUUUAGAUCUGUAUUACUUGAUGCGAUUUGUGUUGAGCGGCUCUGGUUAGGUUAAAUUUAAUUCUCUCCUAUAUACGCAGGUAAAGCUUUAAUACUUAGGGUUAGGGUUCAUGCAAAGCAUUUUUCCUUACUUUAGGUCAAGGGCUUUGGCUUUUUGGACUUCCGGAAAAUUGGUGUGACUUUCUGCUAUUACAUGAAGAGGCGUUGUGUUCCUCAAAAAAAUGAAGGUACUGUUCAUUGGAAGUAUCAGGCUUUGGUAAAAUGAAGCAUUCUUUUCUCCUGUAACUGUAAGUAUCAUCAAUACUCGUCAGACCCGAAUAAUUUUAAUCUACCAAUUGCAUCGCCUCCCUUCUCAAUCAAACAUUGUAACAAAUCAUUUUCUGUUUUAAUACUUUGAUUAGAUGAGAAACAUGAUGAACAUUAAUAGCUGAUAUAAAUUUAGUGCCUAAUGGAGCAAACAUUAUAUAUAUAUAGCUGAUUUGUUUGUACGUUUAAUUGAAAAGUUGAUUAACCUAUCUUGAUUAUCAUAAACUACCGUAUAAAUUAGAGCAUGUAAAUUGUGAUAGAUUUACAAAUAACAAUCCUAUAAAAUUGCAUUUUUCUUUUCAUUCUGAAUUAGCAUAAUUAUUUUCAGUUUUUCUUUAGAUGGGUUGAGGAUUGUUUAAAUGUGGUGUUAUGAGCAGUUUAAGAGAGCUUUCUUCAGUCCACUCAUGGAUGGGCGAAGGGUUUGGAUUAGCUGCCGACUCAUUCAUUCAAACACGGUAGAAAGGGAGUGAAUUUUUCUACUAUGGAUGUGUGAAUGAUGCGGGAGAUAAAAUUCAUCCUUUUCUUUUCUGUGCUUGGACUGAAGGGAGCUCCCUUCUACUGUUCGUUUGGUUCAUUUACUUUUUUUUUUUUUUAGUUUCGUUUCUGGUUUAAUUAACUGUUUAAUUAAAACAUGUCUUGUCACCAAUAUGGUCUUGUUCAAAGCAUGCUUUUUGCUGGUAGGUGGAAUUCUGCUGUUCUAGGAGGAGUGGUUUCCAGUUCAUCUUUUUUAACCUCUUGUUUGUUGUUCGCUUAUGAUCUAAUUAGUUGUCCUUUUGACACUUUUCCUUCACUGCGAAAUGGUAGUCAGUCCAGUGGACUAGAAUUUUUCUUUCUUUUUAUGCCAUGAAUGAUGAAGCUAGCUGCAGUUCAUUUGUUUUGAGUCUUUUUUAUUGGGUUAUGGUUCUUUUAUAGGACGGUCAUUUUUGGUAAAAAGAAGCAAAAAAUAUAAUUAUUAUUAAUGUGUUUGAAUGGUUCCUGUCCAGUCCCAUUUCUUACCCAGACAAAGUUGGUUUUGGUGUGUUUGGCCGGGGAGAAUUGAUGUGUCAAAUCAGUUACGUAAGAGAUUCAUUUCCAACCAAUAUAAUUCUGCAAAGUAACUCUGGGGACUGGCCUGAACACUGGAAAAGGUGACAUCUUGUCAAAUGUUGUGAGGAGUUAAUUAUUAUAUAAUAUAUAGCUCACCGUGAAAAAAGCUGAAGAAAGAUCACCCUGUCUAUUAUUAAGAAAAGAAUAUAAGUAAAUAUAUAUAUUUUUAUCGGGGAAAAAGUAUCUGUGAGAAUGGGAGCUGCUUGUCUUUAUUCUUUUGGCCAGGUUUUGUAAGCGCAUGGUAUUAAAUAUGUGGGGGGUGCGUUGGCUUCAUAUAUAAACCCGCCUCUUGUCCAGUGGGGCUAAAAAUGCAGUCUAAUCAGAGGUUGGAACUUGGAGCUUUGGUUUGGAGCUCCGGUUUGUUGACAUUCGUGAGGUCUAUUUUAUAUAUUGUAUUAGUAGACGCUAUUUUAAUUGUAUGAAAUUGAUAGAAUAUAUUUCAUAUUUAUUAUAUGGACAAAUUAAAACCCUGAUGUGUGACGAUAAACAGUAUAUGGGUUUUCCGGUGAUUUUUCAUUAUGAAUAGCAGUGCCUUUCUUGGGCUAAACCCCUUACUAAAUACCUAAAAGCGCAUUUGUUUAGUAAAUGUGCGUGUGCAUAAAGAACUGAACUACUUUAAACAAGCUUAAAGUAUAGUAUUAAUUAUAAGCCAGUUCCUUGGGGUGGAUCGAGGAUGCAAGUACGUUUGAACUGGUUUUUUUAUUCUUUUUCUCGAGAAAUGGGCAUGUGUUAUGCUCAAUUAAGCAUGACUUGUCUUUGAAUUAUUUCUUUAUUUCUAUUCCAUCUAAUCUAAUGAGACUUAAUCUAUUUUGUGCUCAGCUGUUUGCUAUCAUCAGGCUUUAAUUAGCGCCCUUGAAUUUAUUUAUUUUUUUUAUUCUGUUGUUGAUGUCAUUUUAAUGCAUGAAGCCUGCUGCCCUUGUCAUGUACCUUUUCUCUUGUUUUUGUGGGGAAGGUGGCAUGUGUACUUAGUGCAUGGUAUGUGUUAAAAGACAACCAUGACAUUAAAAAAGAAAAAGCAAUGAGAAAACGCUUUGUCUGAAAUAGAUCAGAUGGAAUUUCUUUGGAUUUCUUAGGCGACACCCGAGUUUUGCUUGAAGGGUUUUAGGUUAUAUCCACAAACAAUCGGUUGCAUGCAAUCAGAAACCCCAGCUGGAGAUAAACGGAACCGAUGGCAUGAUAAUUGAUAAGGAAAGUAAAAUAAUAGUGCUAUACAUUAAUUAGCAUUACUCAUCGUGACUUUUCAUAAAUCUCUCAUGUGUAUAUUCUGGCUCAAGUCUGCACGUUAAACGAUAUAUUUUCUCAACAAUCCGAAAUUAUUAUGUAAGGUACCUAUUGUCGUCAAAAUUUCUUUUAAAUACGCAUACCCAAAAAAAAAAAAAGAGAUUAAAAAGCUUUUCUCCUCUCCGCGGGGGAAAAAGAAGUUAAUUAAUUAGACGCCUCUUUUUUCUUUUAUUUUUUCUUUAUAAAAAGUAUAUUUGUGGGCACCUGAGACAACUCAAAAUUAAGUGACUGUAUUCAGACUGAAACAACUUUAUAUUAUGUGGUCCUUUCAACCUUUGUAUGCUAUAACUCAUUAACUUGUUGCCAAUUCAUAAGUAUCUACUUAGGUGAGAACAUAAUAUGUUGAGGAAAAAAAGGUGAGAACGUAAUAUAUAGUAUACAUAAAUAUAAUAAAAUAUAAUUUUGAGAAACAUAAUAUUCUCUGAAAAAAAAACAUCAUAAAUGAGACUUGACAUUUGCUUUCACUUAAUCACAUGCUUAAACCAAAAUAAUACAACACUUUGGCAGCAAAACAAUGUAAGUUUUGUGUUGUAUGUUGAUAUGGGCGUGGUCUAUGUGGGGCCUAAUAGUCGCAUGCUAACAACUAAAAUACUUAACGCUAACUAUAACACAAUAUGUACAAUAAGAUUAACUAAGAGAAGAGGAGGAAGAAGAAGAAGAAGAGAAAAUUGAAUUUAUUGAAUACCGAGUAUCCUCCAGAAUUUAAUCCUCUAUAGUAUGUAUCUUUUAGGUUUUUGUAUUCUUUGCUUGCAGAGAAAAGAAAGAAAGAAUAGGAAGAAAGUGGGGGGCACAAAAAGAGAAAAUUGAAAAGAAGUUGAAGAAUCGAGUUGCUAAAAGGGAGGGAAACUUCGAGGAGCAGUAAUGGGUAGGCGAAAAAAGUGUGAAAACGCGUCAUACCAUAUUUUGAGAGGCCAUUCCAUAUAAUUUUUAUUUUUUUAGGGUGUCGGACCAUUGUAUGGAUUUCUUUUUUUGAAAUUUUGGUGGCUAGCCUAAUAGCUUUUGGGUUUGAGCUCAAAAAAAUCUUUAGAACUUUUU
rnacentral:precursor_RNA from 1 species